CAGGAGAACCCACAUCCUUGACACCAGACCCUCACACGGGUCCUCAGCAUCCAGACGGGAAGGCACCUGGGAAACUUCCUUGGGCCUGGAUACCCAGUGAUCUGGGUCUCCUGUCCUGAUGCAGUCGUUAACACACUGACCACCUGAUUUUCCCACCAUUCUCUACCAAUCUCUCCCUCCCGAUCAUCUCUUCUACCAGCCUAGCUGGAUUCCUCUCAGGACAGGCAUAUUGACACCAUUCCUUUAGCCUUCCCCUCAGGGCUUCGGCCUUGAACCCUAUUCUGUUACACAAUUACUAUUAGACCUCUCUACUCAAGUCUCGCCCCUGAUCCCCAGGCCAGGCGGAAGGCCCCCGGCCGUCCAACAAUUCCGCCCACUAGUGGCCCCACCCGCUUUCGCAGCGCGCCCCGCCCUCAGCCGAUCCUUCCUAGCUUCCGUCCACCCACGUGGUCCCCUCUACGCUGGACUUUCUCCCGGGAUUUGCGGCUCGGUCGGUGACACUGACACUUCCUAUAGCUGCAGACUCAGCUGCGGCAGCAGGACGGGGCGGUCACUGGCUGAGGGGCGUGGGCCCCGCCUCUUCGCGUCGCUCUUCUGUCUGCGGCUGCGCGGUGACCACAGAGAGAAGACAAGCGAAUGCUUACAACACCGAGACAGUAGUGGCCAAGGACGCACAGCGGCGGUAAGCAGAGAUAACGUCCCCGGGCUCCCGAGGGAAGUCGUGUGUUCCGGUGCCUCUACAGGUCAGAGCAGAACCAACCACACCCCCACUAGCAGAAUUAGAUUGGCCAGAGUCUCGGAAGCGGAAUCUGCAUUCUGCGCUCCUCUGACAAAGGAUGAGUCGUGAAGCCCAGACCACCGCACACAAUGGUUUUGGGAAGAACAUUCAAGUCACUCCGACAUUUCACUUUUGGGAAGUGGGCGUGGACGCAGGGGAAGACUUCUACAGUAUCACUUAUUUUAUUUUUAUAUUUUAACUGUGAUCUUCUAUUGUUUUUAUAAAUUAAAACAAAACAAAACAAAACCAGAAUGGAACCCUGCACUUCUCCCGGUUUUUUGUUUACCUCAUAACAUUUUUUUGGUAAUAACACGGACACAUUCAGAAGUGGCUCAUUAACGAUCGCGUGGCUACCAUCUCAGAAGCCUCCAUCCUUGCAGUUUUGUUGCCUGAUGUUUCCACCUUUGAAACAAAUGUUCCAGGUGGAGGUAUAGGGCCUUGACAAAACAAGCUUGAUUGCACACUAUAUGGAGACCUCCCCGCCUCCCCGCCCCUCACCAAUCAUAAAAACCCAUUUCUUAAAAAAUAGUAAAUCCUAGAAAAAUGUAUAGAAAAAAAUCCCCUCGCAAGCCCCAAACUCAGAGAUAACCAUCAAUAUUUGGUGAACUAAUCUCCAGUUUGAUUUUCUGUUUUUUACCUGCACCAGUGGAGAAGGAGGUGGCAGAGGAUGAGAUGGUUGGAUGGCAUCACUGACUCANNNNNNNNNNNNNNNNNNNNNNNNNNNNNNNNNNNNNNNNNNNNNNNNNNNNNNNNNNNNNNNNNNNNNNNNNNNNNNNNNNNNNNNNNNNNNNNNNNNAGAAGGAGGUGGCAGAGGAUGAGAUGGUUGGAUGGCAUCACUGACUCAACUGACCUGCGCUUAACCAAACUCCAGGAGAUAGUGUAGGACAGGGAAGCCUGGCAUGCUGCAGUCCAUGGGGUCUCAAAGAGUCCAACAGGAUUUAGAGACUGAACAACAUCAGUGAGGCUAUGUUGUGAUCAUGCUACAGAUACAGAUUUGAAUUAAGCUUUUUUUAAAAAAAAUUAUCUAUCUCCAUGCCAGUGCAUAACUUAUGACAAGCUUAAUUAGAGGAGGAGACAGAGGGAAACUUCAGAUACUGAGGUAGAUUUCUGGGCAGGUAUAAAAUUUUUAAGCGUGGACAGACAUGAGUGUUCACGAAGUCUCUUUUAGGUGUAGGGCUUUCCUUUCACUUGACAAUUUUCACUUAACAGUUCUUACAUUAUGAAGUUGAAAUAGUCUUUUACCUGUAAAGUAAAUGAAAAAUAGAGAGUGAGAGAAACAAACAAUUUCUCUAGAGUAUAAAGAUGUUAGAAAUAGUUUGUUUUCCUUUCACAAACAUCUUAAUGUAUAAAAUUUGAAACUUCAUUAAGGAAGUCUUAAUUCUGACUUAAAAAUUGUCAAGACAACCAAUUUUCUUGAUUUAUAGAUCACAGUAGCUUUCUAAACGUUUAGGAUACAAGUGCAAGCAAAAUCUCAGAUACUCUUGGAAAUGCAUUUUUGGAUACAGCACACAUGAUAUAUAUGUCUUCGGGAGCUUGAUUAUCCUUUUGUAAUAUUGAAGAAUACUCAGUUUAUUACAAAUUUAGCCUUUGAUAACCACAACUUGGAUAGAGCACAAAGUGGAAUCUUCAAAGGUUUCUCAAUAUACCUCCGUCUGGGGAAUUCCCUGGUGGCCUAGCAGGGCUGCGCUCAUCUCGUACGCAAGCAAAAUAAUGCUCAAAAUUCUCCAAGCCAGUCUUCAACAGUAUGUGAA
ensembl:lncRNA